UACGUAGGGUGCAGGCGUUAAUCGGAAUUACUGGGCGUAAAGCGUGCGCAGGCGGUUUGCUAAGACAGGUGUGAAAUCCCCGGGCUUAACCUGGGAACUGCGCUUGUAACUGGCAAGCUGGAGUGUGGCAGAGGGGGGUGGAAUUCCACGUGUAGCAGUGAGAUGCGUAGAGAUGUGGAGGAACACCGAUGGCGAAGGCAGCCCCCCUGGGCUAACACUGACGCUCAUGAGCGAAAGCGUGGGGAGCGAUCCGG
rnacentral:rRNA from 1 species